CUUCAUUAAGCUAUAGUGUCCCUUUAAUGUGAGGUACAUUAUAGAUUAGUGUCACUAAUAAUAUACUAGAUUGCCUACUUACAAGCAGAUGAGGAUGAUGAUGGGCUGCAGUUUGGCUCCACUGGUCUGGUGUUGAACAGGAUCUCUGGAGGCUGUUUGCAACUGUGGUCACAAAAUUCAAUGUUCUGGGAGAAUUAGAAGCAGCUCCAUUUUUUGGGGUCUGGGCCCCAGGGCCUGACGGUGAGUAUGCCCAUAAGGCCCACUCAUAAGUUCCACCCACCCAUGAGUUCGCUCACAGGGAGUGGAGUGUGUAGGGGAUAUGUUAUGUGUUAUUGAAGAGGAUCUAAUAUGUGUG